rnacentral:rRNA from 1 species
GGAACCUGGUUGAUCCUGCCAGUAGUCAUAUGCUUGUCUCAAAGAUUAAGCCAUGCAUGUCUAAGUAUAAACAACUUUAUACUGUGAAACUGCAGAUGGCUCAUUAAAUCAGUUAUAAUUUCUUUGAUGGUUACUUUACUACAUGGAUACCCGUAGUAAUUCUAGAGCUAAUACAUGCGUAAAGUCCUGACCUU